CCUACGGGUGGCAGCAGUGGGGAAUAUUGGGCAAUGGGCGCAAGUCUGACCCAGCAAUGCCGCGUGAAGGAAGAAGGUCUUCGGGUUGUAAAGUUCUUUAAUUGGGGACGAAGAAAAUGAUGGUACCCAACGAAUAAGCCCCGGCUAACUACGUGCCAGCAGCCGCGGUAAUACGUAGGGGGCAAGCGUUGUUCGGAAUGACUGGGCGUAAAGGGUGUGUAGGCGGGGUAGCAAGUUAGAAGUGAAAUACAUGGGGCUUAACUCAGGUGCUGCUUCUAAAACUGCUAUACUUGAGUGCAGUAGAGGAAAGUGGAAUUCCUAGUGUAGCGGUGGAAUGCGUAGAUAUUAGGAGGAACAUCAGUGGCGAAGGCGACUUUCUGGACUGUAACUGACGCUGAGGCACGAAAGUGUGGGGAGCAAACAGGAUUAGAUACCCCAGUAGUC
rnacentral:rRNA from 1 species